rnacentral:rRNA from 1 species
UACGUAGGGAGCAAGCGUUGUCCGGAAUCAUUGGGCGUAAAGCGCGCGUAGGUGGCCAUGUAAGUCCGCUGUGAAAGUCAAAAGGCUCAACCUUUGAAAGCCGGUGGAUACUGCAUGGCUAGAGUACGGAAGAGGCGAGUGGAAUUCCGUGGUGUAGCGGUGGAAUGCGCAGAUAUCAGGAGGAACACCAAUAGCGAAGGCAGCUCGCUGGGACGUUACUGACACUGAGGCGCGAAAGCGUGGGGAGCGAACAG